rnacentral:lncRNA from 1 species
UAGAGUUUUUAUUCAUUUCUUGUUUAAUGUGAUAUAUUAACAGAAUGUCUUAUAGGAGGGCAAUGAAGGACUACGGAACAAGGGAGCGACACAGAAAUGAGAAACAUUUGAAAGAGAAUUAGAAAAACUCCCAAAUUCAACUAAAGAUCUAUGUGUUUAUGAAUGCAGCAUUGACACUAAGGGAAGGGUACAAGAUCUGAAUAAAUGAAGAGAACAACCAUGUUCCUGAAUGCGAAGACUCAAUAGUGAAGACACCAGUUUCCCCCAAAUCAGUGGAUGUUAUUUUGUAUCAUUGCUAAUCCAGAGCUGCUUCUCCUGGUUUCUUCUUCUAGAAAGAAAGAGCAAGAGCAGGCAGGAGGGCAAGGCGACAGCAGGAGAACGAGAAAGAAACCCGAAGAAAAGUCGUUUUAGUGAAGAUGGAAAGGCUUGAAGCAUAUCGUGGACAAUGACCUCAGCCUUCUGUGCGGAGGAUUUGUGCUGGGAGCUCCUCCAAGAUUCCUCUACUGCAGAGCACAGCACCACCUUGCAGGAACCACCCAGAGGACUGUGAGGUCCACGAAGCAAAGGGCUGCAUCUUACUCUCCCAGGUGGCUGUAUGGCCCAGCAGUGCGCCUGGGCCAGGUAAGUCUUCUAUGUGGGUACUGAGUGAUCAAUGGACAAUAAAAUCAAGUGGUGAUGGGCCUGAGAGACAAACUUCCUGGACUA